AGAGUUUGAUCCUGGCUCAGGACGAACGCUGGCGGCGUGCCUAAUACAUGCAAGUAGAACGCUGAAGAGAGGAGCUUGCUCUUCUUGGAUGAGUUGCGAACGGGUGAGUAACGCGUAGGUAACCUGCCUUGUAGCGGGGGAUAACUAUUGGAAACGAUAGCUAAUACCGCAUAACAAUGGAUGACACAUGUCAUUUAUUUGAAAGGGGCAAUUGCUCCACUACAAGAUGGACCUGCGUUGUAUUAGCUAGUAGGUGAGGUAACGGCUCACCUAGGCGACGAUACAUAGCCGACCUGAGAGGGUGAUCGGCCACACUGGGACUGAGACACGGCCCAGACUCCUACGGGAGGCAGCAGUAGGGAAUCUUCGGCAAUGGGGGCAACCCUGACCGAGCAACGCCGCGUGAGUGAAGAAGGUUUUCGGAUCGUAAAGCUCUGUUGUAAGUCAAGAACGAGUGUGAGAGUGGAAAAUUCACACUGUGACGGUAGCUUACCAGAAAGGGACGGCUAACUACGUGCCAGCAGCCGCGGUAAUACGUAGGUCCCGAGCGUUGUCCGGAUUUAUUGGGCGUAAAGCGAGCGCAGGCGGUUUGAUAAGUCUGAAGUUAAAGGCUGUGGCUCAACCAUAGUUCGCUUUGGAAACUGUCAAACUUGAGUGCAGAAGGGGAGAGUGGAAUUCCAUGUGUAGCGGUGAAAUGCGUAGAUAUAUGGAGGAACACCGGUGGCGAAAGCGGCUCUCUGGUCUGUAACUGACGCUGAGGCUCGAAAGCGUGGGGAGCGAACAGGAUUAGAUACCCUGGUAGUCCACGCCGUAAACGAUGAGUGCUAGGUGUUGGAUCCUUUCCGGGAUUCAGUGCCGCAGCUAACGCAUUAAGCACUCCGCCUGGGGAGUACGACCGCAAGGUUGAAACUCAAAGGAAUUGACGGGGGCCCGCACAAGCGGUGGAGCAUGUGGUUUAAUUCGAAGCAACGCGAAGAACCUUACCAGGUCUUGACAUCCCGAUGCUAUUUCUAGAGAUAGAAAGUUACUUCGGUACAUCGGUGACAGGUGGUGCAUGGUUGUCGUCAGCUCGUGUCGUGAGAUGUUGGGUUAAGUCCCGCAACGAGCGCAACCCCUAUUGUUAGUUGCCAUCAUUCAGUUGGGCACUCUAGCGAGACUGCCGGUAAUAAACCGGAGGAAGGUGGGGAUGACGUCAAAUCAUCAUGCCCCUUAUGACCUGGGCUACACACGUGCUACAAUGGUUGGUACAACGAGUUGCGAGUCGGUGACGGCAAGCUAAUCUCUUAAAGCCAAUCUCAGUUCGGAUUGUAGGCUGCAACUCGCCUACAUGAAGUCGGAAUCGCUAGUAAUCGCGGAUCAGCACGCCGCGGUGAAUACGUUCCCGGGCCUUGCACUCACCGCCCGUCA
rnacentral:rRNA from 1 species